UUAAAUUUCUGAUAUAAUGUAAUAGUUUUUAUCCAAUAUUGAGAAAAACUAAUUUUGAAUUUUGGAUGUGUUUCUUCCAUAGGAACUUGAGACUUCAUUUUGGGAAACGGGAAGGGGAAUAGAGCAUGCAUUCAGCAUUCUGGCUUUUUUGGAAAGCUUACGAAGGGACUAGUAUCUGUCUUACCCGUUUUGGGAGUUCUGAUGAGAGGCUGGCAUAUUUUGGAUGCCUGGUGGUCACGAAGAAAAAGAGAGAAGAAGGCAGCUUGCUACUGUUGAGUAAGACAACUUUCAGUGCCACAGUCAAACAUCAAGGGGAACAAGAAAUCACAAUUCUCCCAAGAAGAAACAUCCAUCAAGCUUUUCUACUAGAGAAAUUACAUGUACAGGUCACAAAAGUUGCAUCUUACCUCCAAACAUUUCAGAGGCUCCCAGACUGUCUGGUGGAGCUGACUGUUAACUGUCUUUUCCUGUACGAAGGCAGUACAUAAAGACCAGGAGAGGUGGCUGGUUUUUUUCAAAUAUGCAGAUACCAAUACAAAGUUAGAUACAUGCAAAUAAAUAGGGAAACGUAAAUAAGAGAAAGGAAGACAAUAAAUCAGAAACCAGCCUUAAAGACUUUGAGGUAUAUGAAUUACUUGACAAA
rnacentral:lncRNA from 1 species